UGAGGAAUUUUCCACAAUGGGCGAAAGCCUGAUGGAGCGACGCCGCGUGAAGGAUGAAGCUUUUCGGAGUGUAAACUUCUUUUAUAUGGGAAGAUUAUGACGGUACCAUAUGAAUAAGGACCGGCUAACUACGUGCCAGCAGCCGCGGUAAUACGUAGGGUCCGAGCGUUAUCCGGAAUUACUGGGCGUAAAGAGUUCGUAGGCGGAUUUUUAAGUCGGGUGUUAAAUAUGCAGGCUCAACUUGUAUGCUGCAUCCGAUACUGGGAGUCUUGAGAGUGGAAGAGGUAAGCGGAAUUUCCGGUGGAGCGGUAAAAUGCGUAGAUAUCGGAAAGAACACCAAUGGCGAAGGCAGCUUACUGGGCCAUUUCUGACGCUGAGGAACGAAAGCGUGGGGAGCGAUCG
rnacentral:rRNA from 1 species